GAACGCUAGCUACAGGCUUAACACAUGCAAGUCGAGGGGCAGCAUGGUCUUAGCUUGCUAAGGCCGAUGGCGACCGGCGCACGGGUGAGUAACGCGUAUCCAACCUGCCUUACACUCUUGGACAGCCUUCUGAAAGGGAGAUUAAUACAAGAUGUUAUCAUGAGUAAGCAUUUUCGCAUGAUUAAAGGUUUACCGGUGUAAGAUGGGGAUGCGUUCCAUUAGAUAGUAGGCGGGGUAACGGCCCACCUAGUCUUCGAUGGAUAGGGGUUCUGAGAGGAAGGUCCCCCACAUUGGAACUGAGACACGGUCCAAACUCCUACGGGAGGCAGCAGUGAGGAAUAUUGGUCAAUGGACGAGAGUCUGAACCAGCCAAGUAGCGUGAAGGAUGAAGGUUCUAUGGAUUGUAAACUUCUUUUAUACGGGAAUAAACGAAUCCACGUGUGGAUUUUUGCAUGUACCGUAUGAAUAAGGAUCGGCUAACUCCGUGCCAGCAGCCGCGGUAAUACGGAGGAUCCGAGCGUUAUCCGGAUUUAUUGGGUUUAAAGGGAGCGUAGAUGGGUUGUUAAGUCAGUUGUGAAAGUUUGCGGCUCAACCGUAAAAUUGCAAUUGAUACUGGCAGUCUUGAGUACAGUUGAGGUAGGCGGAAUUCGUGGUGUAGCGGUGAAAUGCUUAGAUAUCACGAAGAACUCCGAUUGCGAAGGCAGCUUACUAACCUGUAACUGACAUUGAUGCUCGAAAGUGUGGGUAUCAAACAGGAUUAGAUACCCUGGUAGUCCACACGGUAAACGAUGAAUACUCGCUGUAGGCGAUAUACAGUCUGCGGCCAAGCGAAAGCAUUAAGUAUUCCACCUGGGGAGUACGCCGGCAACGGUGAAACUCAAAGGAAUUGACGGGGGCCCGCACAAGCGGAGGAACAUGUGGUUUAAUUCGAUGAUACGCGAGGAACCUUACCCGGGCUUAAAUUGCAACCGAAUAUGGCGGAAACGCUAUAGCUAGCAAUAGCGGUUGUGAAGGUGCUGCAUGGUUGUCGUCAGCUCGUGCCGUGAGGUGUCGGCUUAAGUGCCAUAACGAGCGCAACCCUUGCCGAUAGUUACUAACAGGUCAUGCUGAGGACUCUGUCGGGACUGCCAUCGUAAGAUGUGAGGAAGGUGGGGAUGACGUCAAAUCAGCACGGCCCUUACGUCCGGGGCUACACACGUGUUACAAUGGGGGGUACAGAGGGCUGCUACCACGCAAGUGGAUGCCAAUCCCAAAAACCUCUCUCAGUUCGGAUUGAAGUCUGCAACCCGACUUCAUGAAGCUGGAUUCGCUAGUAAUCGCGCAUCAGCCACGGCGCGGUGAAUACGUUCCCGGGCCUUGUACACACCGCCCGUCAAGCCAUGGGAGCCGGGGGUACCUGAAGUGCGUAACCGCAAGGAGCGCCCUAGGGUAAAACUGGUGACUGGGGCUAAG
rnacentral:rRNA from 1 species